rnacentral:rRNA from 1 species
GCUCGUAGUUGGAUCUCGGGUGCAGGCUUGCGGUCCGCCUCGCGGCGGUCACUGCUCGUCCUAGCAGCCUAGCUUCGGUGUGUCCCUUGGUGCUCUUGACCGAGUGUCUCGGGUGGCCGGAACGUUUACUUUGAUGAAAUUAGAGUGUUCAGAGCGCGGGCGUUUCGCCCGUAUAAUGGUGCAUGGAAUGAUAGAAUAGGACCUCGGUUCUAUUUUGUUGGUUUUCGGAACCAGAGGUAAUGAUCAAGAGGGACAGACGGGGGCAUUCGUAUUGCAGCGUUAGAGGUGAAAUUCUUGGAUCGUUGCAAGACGGACGACAGCGAAAGCAUUUGCCAAGAAUGUUUUCCUUAAUCAAGAACGAAAGUCAGAGGCUCGAAGACGAUCAGAUACCGUCGUAGUUCUGACCAUAAACCAUGCCAACUGGCAAUCCGCCGGAGUUACUACAAUGACUCGGCGAGCAGCCCCCGGGAAACCAAAGUUUCUGGGUUCCGGGGGGAGUAUGGUUGCAAAGCUGAAACUUAAAGGAAUUGACGGAAGGGCACCACCAGGAGUGGAGCCUGUGGCUUAAUUUGACUCAACACGGGAAACCUCACCCGGCCCGGACACCGUUAGGAUUGACAGAUUGAGAGCUCUUUCUUGAUUCGGUGGGUGGUGGUGCAUGGCCGUUCUUAGUUGGUGGAGCGAUUUGUCUGGUUAAUUCCGAUAACGAACGAGACUCUAGCCUACUAAAUAGUUCGAGGAUAUAUACAUAUACCUCGCAAACUUCUUAGAGGGACAGGUGGCGUAUAGCCACACGAGAUUGAGCAAUAACAGGUCUGUGAUGCCCUUAGAUGUUCGGGGCCGCACACGCGCUACAUUGAAUGGAUCAACGUGCGUCUAGCCUUGCCCGAAAGGGCUGGGAAACCCGUUGAACCCCAUUCGUGAUAGGGAUUGGGGCUUGCAAUUAUUUCCCAUGAACGAGGAAUUCCUAGUAAGCGCGAGUCAUCAGCUCGCGUUGAUUGCGUCCCUGCCCUUUGUACACACCGCCCGUCGCUACUACCGAUCGUUCCAGUUAAUGAACGCCUCGGAUUGGUCCCGUAAGCGGGGAAACCUGCUCGCGGCGUGCCGAGAAGAAGUGUAAGUUAUCUGGGAUAGAGGUCGUAAAAGUCGUAACAAGGUAUCC